rnacentral:misc_RNA from 1 species
GAUGAAGAACGUAGCGAAAUGCGAUAAGUAGUGUGAAUUGCAGAAUUCAGUGAAUCAUCGAAUUUUUGAACGCACAUUGCGCCCCUUGGUAUUCCAUGGGGCAUGCCUGUUCGAGCGUCAUUUGUACCUUCAAGCUCUGCUUGGUGUUGGGUGUUUGUCUCGCCUCUGCGUGUAGACUCGCCUCAAAACAAUUGGCAGCCGGCGUAUUGAUUUCGGAGCGCAGUACAUCUCGCGCUUUGCACUCAUAACGACGACGUCCAAAAGUACAUUUUUACACUCUUGACCUCGGAUCAGGUAGGGAUACCCGCUGAACUUAAGCAUAUCAAUAAGCGGAGGA